UACAGAGGUCUCAAGCGUUAGGCGGAAUCACUGGGCUUAAAGCGCGUGUAGGCGGAUGUCUAAGUACCUUGUGAAAUCCCACGGCUCAACCGUGGAACUGCUUGGUAUACUGGAUAUCUUGAGCAAUCCAGGGGCGAGCGGAACAAACGGUGGAGCGGUGAAAUGCGUAGAUAUCGUUUGGAACGCCAAUGGUGAAAACAGCUCGCUGGGGAUUUGCUGACGCUGAGACGCGAAAGCCAGGGGAG
rnacentral:rRNA from 1 species